AUAGCCCAAACGUAACCAAGAAACACAGAUCUUUCGUUGAAAGCCUGAAACUGAGAAAUCUCACAGAGUGCAUGGAGAUCUCAUCAAGCUCGACGAUCAUGGAGAUCUCAUAGAGCUCGACGAUCAUCGAUUGGGUACGUAAUCGCACAGCUCCGAUUAGGUACGAUCUCAGUUUUGUGACUCUUCCUCUCUCUUGGAGUUGUGUUUCUCAGCUCCGGUUAGGCUAUUCGGACGCUGAUCUCAAAGGGUUCUAGAUCUGGUUCCAAUCCAGGCCCCAAUAAGUUGUUUCUAUUGGUUAAGGCUCCCUGUUCUUUCAACCUGCCUCUGCAUUUUCUUCCCAAAUGAUUUUAAAUAUAGCAAAAAGCUUACUUGGACUUGCUACAACUUCUAUCAGCGCAUUUUUUGGGCAGGCUUUUCCACUGGAUUUAGUACUCUUUUCCGGUUGAGGGCAACUUAAGGUGUGUCCCUCAUUGAAGAUUUAAAAAAAAAUUUAAUCCAACUUUAGAUGGAAUGGAAUUGGGUAAAGCUCAGGAAUAGAGCUCUUCUUGAGUAUAGACAAGGAAUUAAAGACUUCCUUGAUUUUGCAUUUGAGCAUACAACAAUGGGGUAUAAAAUUUAUUGUCCGUGUAAGAAAUGCAAUAACUACUUUGCAAAGACCAGAGAUGAUGUUGAGGCUGAUUUGCUUACUAUUGGUAUUCUCCCAAGUUAUACUCAUUGGUUUAGACAUGGUGAGGAGAGACAUUUUCAAACAUGUGAUAGUUUGGAUAGUGAUGAUGAGUCAGACGGGGAUGGCUUGAGUGAGAUGGUAGAAGAUUAUUGUGCAGCCUUUAAUGCAGCCAGUUGUGUAGCUGGAGAUUCCAGUGGUGACAGUACUCCUGAAAAGCCUAAUGAUGAUGCAGCUAACUUUUUUCUGAAACUAGGAGAUAACGAGCAGAAACUUUUUCUAGAUUACAAGUAUACAAAACUGUCUUUCAUUGUGAAGUUACUUCAUAUUAAAUGCCUUAGUGGUUGAAAAAUCAUAAGAUAGUACAAGAUUAUACAUAAUAGUAAGCUAUGAGAUUUAACAUGCAUGUUUGUCCUUCAGAAGAAAGUAUGUUUCAGCUUGAUUUACAAGUGUUCACCUUGGAAUAUAUAUAUAUGCUGUUAUAUCUAAAUUGACUAAUUUUUUUUAAAUGUUCACGUUAAUGUACACUUUUGUACACACAAGUGUCCAUAAUUUCACACGCGUUGUCCACAUUUUUUAAGUAUGUCCACACUUAACACAUGAAAGGAUGUGUAUAGACGAUGUACGAUAACGAGUGUUUUGCUUAUUUAUUUAUUGGGGGAUUGAUAAAUGAAAUGGGAUUUUUGUUUGCUUUCUGUUAUUCAAAUGUGACAGAUAAAGUUUUUAGUCCUACGUGCUCGGCUCAGAAGGUUUAUGAAGAAGGUGCUAAGGAUGUGGCUCUAUCUGCACUUACUGGAAUUAAUGCAACAAUUUUCGCAUAUGGGUAGACUAGCAAUGGCAAGAGUUAUACCAUGAGAGGAAUCACAGAAAAUGCUAUUAAGGAUAUCUAUGAACAUAUCAAAAAUCACCAGGAGAGGGAUUUUGUUGUGAGGGUUUCUGCUUUAGAGAUCUACAAUGAGACUGUUGUUGACCUUUUGAAUCGCGAAUCUGGUUCCCUUCAGCUUUUGGAUGAUCAUGAGGUGGCUUUGCUGUUAAUUUGGGCUGCUAAUAUAAGGAAACAUGUGAAGAAUUUAGAAUUUGGGAAGGGACACAUAUAUAAAGCUGUGCAUGUAACCGAUUUUUAUUUCCUUUCAUUACCUUUGGCCUUAUAUAUGAUGUAUUAGGAUUUGUUCUAUUCACCUACUAUCAUGUCAGAUUGUGCAAAGAAUCUUGUUUUUACAAUUUAAAACUCUUGCCCCUGUUGACUAUUGAAUUAGAUCAUAUAAAUAUUGAUGGGUUAAUCUGA